UACGUAGGGUGCGAGCGUUGUCCGGAAUUAUUGGGCGUAAAGAGCUCGUAGGCGGUCUGUCGCGUCGAUCGUGAAAACUUGGGGCUUAACCCUGAGCUUGCGGUCGAUACGGGCAUGACUGGAGUUCGGCAGGGGAGACUGGAAUUCCUGGUGUAGCGGUGAAAUGCGCAGAUAUCAGGAGGAACACCGGUGGCGGAAGGCGGGUCUCUGGGCCGAUACUGACGCUGAGGAGCGAAAGCGUGGGGAGCGAACAGG
rnacentral:rRNA from 1 species